GUCCCCCAGCCCUGCAGCUGCAGGAAGUGGCUCAGGUCAGACCACCGCUAAGGUACAUUCCACGUGAGGGCUGGAGAGGGCCAUCGGUGCCUUUACCAACAGUGUUGAUGCCUCACCCUGGGCAUCGGCCAGGCUGGCAGAAAUGUGGCUGGGAGCGGCAGGGACCAUGGAACCAUCGUGGCCUGGGGUGAGGAAGGCGUUGAGCAAUCAUGCUUGGGGACGUUCAGCUCUGGGCUUUAGGAUUCAAUAGGACACCGUAUUGAUGUACAGUUGCUUGCGGUGGCCAUGCUCGUUCCUGUAGAUGAGCUCUUUUGAUCCUAAUGGCAAUAUAGCCAAGAAAACAGGCAAGUGUUCCUACAGGCCACAUUCUCCCAGCUGCUGACUGGUGGAGGUGAGCUGCAAGGAGCUGCCCCCAGGCGCGACGCAGCUUUUGCUCAUCACAAAGCUAGUUCCUGGCCAUGACUCAUGAGGACUGGAUGCGGCCUGGACUCCACCACCUUGCCUGUCUCGGGUUCCCACAGUGAUGUCACCAGCACCUGGAACAGCGCCUGGUACGGGACAGGCCCUGUCAUAGCUGGGGACUGACUGACUGGGCACACAGAAGGAGCCACACAGGCAUGGAUGCCCCAGGUACAGGGAUGCUGAUGGAGAGGUGGGUGAGUGAGAGAAUACUCACCAGCCAGGCCUAGGAGAGGCAUUAUUUUCCCUCCAGGAAAUAUAUUCUGAUUUUCAUUACAUAGAUUUGCCUAUUCCGGGCCUUGGUACAAAGGGAAUCAUACGAGAUCUCAGCAUCACCUCUGCAAGGUUCCUCCCUGUGGCAGCGUGCAUCCCUGCUUCACUCCUUCUCUGGCUGGGCCACCUUCCAUUAUGUGUCUGGACCAUGUCAUCGUGUGUAUCUGUGAAUCCACAGAUGGACAUCCGCAGUAUUUCCACUUCUUGGCUCUUGUGAAUAGUACUGCUGUGAACAUUUGUAUCAAGUUUUUUUUGUGGAGAUACAUGUUCAUGCCUCUAGGGUCUGCACCUUGGGAGUGGAACUGCAGAUUCCUAUGGCCAUUCUAUGCUGGACCUUUUGAAGAACUGCAAACUGUUUUCAAAGCAGCUGCACCAUUUUACUUUCCCAUCAGCAGUGGAGGAGGAUUCCAGUUGCUCCACAUCUUUACCAACACUGGUUAUUUUCUGACUUUUAAAAAAUUAUGAUUACAGCCAUGCGGGUGAGAGAGUGAUCCUUUCUAAGUGGGGGAUGCCCUUCGCUGUUCUGCAAUCCCCUCACACUUGGUCUGUGGUGCCUCCCUGACUCUCCGGGCUUGGCAUGGAGAAGGGCCAGAGGAAGAAAUGGGUCAAGGCAGUGUGGGAGCCACUCUUUGGCUGACAACGGCUUUGCUCUGGGGGAGCAGCAGGGCAGUGAGCUCACAGCUUCUCAGGGACAGGUCACUCUGUCCUUGUGUGCCCUCACCACCCGCUGUACAGCAGAACACAGGCAGGCACCAUGACCCCUUGUUCAAUGUGUCCCAAGGAUGCAUAAUGAAGGAGGAGGUGGGUGGGCUGAUGCUUUUGGGGGACUGAAGUUCAAAGUCCCUGGUGAUGUGGGGAUGAUGGAUGGUGUUCUAAGAAGAAGCAGGUCUCCUGUCUCCAGGCUGCAUGUGGAAUAGACCCUCAGCAAAGUCUUGCAGAGGUGGAGGCAGAGGUAGCUGUUGCCACUCUUCAAGUAGAAAUGAGGCUGACAAGGAAGGAAAGUGGAAGGGUCCAUUUCUCAAAUCCUGAUGCCUGAUGAAAUGGAAGGAAAAACACCUGCCAGCCAGGAAGACAGUCCCAAGGCCACACCAGCAGCCCCCGGCACAGUCAUGCAGUGCCACGGAAGGGAAGAUACUAAUUUCAAACUAACUCUUCACCUCUAUCAUUUAAUCUUCUGACACUGCCUAGAGGCCUGCAGGAGGAGUUACUCCCAUUUUAUAGGGAGGCAGCUGGAACUGGAGUGGUGGAGAGACUUGCCUAGGUGUGGAGCCUCCCUCAGCAGAUCUGGGCAUGGAGCUCAGACGGGAGGAUACUGGCACACACAGCUGUGUCCAGAGUCACUCAGCAGGCCAGAACUGGGCCCCGGGAGGUAGAGAGGAGGGCAGAACCUUCCUCCCAGUUUGGAGUUAUGAGCUUCACAUUGCUGACUUGGAGGAGGAGCUGAGAUUCUUGCAGACACUGCUGAAGCCAGGGAAGGGCCUGGUCCCUGACUGCUAAUCGUGUUAAGCAGUGGGCGACUGGGAAAGUGUGCUGCUGGAGAGAACAGAGGGGCCAUUCUGCCUUCCUGCUACUGCCAGCUAGCGGGGAACAGUGCCUGCACACACACCAUGCUGCAUGCCUGCCCUCCAAACCAGGACAUGCCCAGCUGGGUUCUUUCCAGAGGCUAAUUCCAAUUGCCCUAUGGACAGAGGUGAAGCUGAACUGGUGCUGCAUUGGGUGCAAUCUGGAUUUGCUAUUGCUGCUCUUGCAAUAGAACUGUUUGUUAUAGUUGCACUUGGCUGGCACUGGACAGCAGCUCGAAGCCAUUCGGGCCCCCGUUCUGUUCAUUUUUAGUGCCUGUCUAGCAUCUCAGUAUGCAGCACGUAAUAGGCAACUUACAGGUGUGUGCGUCAUUGACAUCACUGAACUGAUUCGAAGGAUGCCUCUGGUGUUACCAAGGCGUCUAACACUCAGAAAUCAAUGCAGCAGGGAAGGAAUGGACCCUGCUUUCAGAUAACCAGGCUGGUGGUCAGCAGCGUCUUGACUUCUAGUCUGUAGUCUCUGAAUAGCAUACCUGUUUCCAGGACUCUCACUACACACUUAUUUUUUCUUUUAACUAUGAUGUCAGUGCUGUAACACGGUCCCAUUGCUGCUUCGCUUCUCCAGCAAUGGGCUGUUGAACAGCUACUCUGUUAUGUAUUAAACACAGCUCUUAUAUUAAAAAAAAAAUGGCUAAGGGCUUUGAACAUUGAUUUCUACCCUCAGGCUAGAGGUGUUUCUGUUGGGAAGUGGGAGUAGAAUAAGGGAUACUUUAUCUGUUUUGCAUUUGCCUUAAAAAAUAAAACUUGCACCCAAUACUUGACAGCCCAUUCAUUACACCCGCCACGCCCU
rnacentral:lncRNA from 10 species